CGGAAACGAGGCUUCAAGACAUUUCCCUCCAUUUCUCCCAAUUUUCAGUUUCCCUCCAUUUCUCCCCAUUAUCAGCGCCGACCACCGCCCCCCUCACCCACCGUCCGGCUCCCCCACCAAACGGCCAACACCGUCCGGCCCUCUCAGACCACCAUCCGACCCUCCCCUCUCAGACCAAAAAACUCGACCCGCGACCCAUUUCUCUCUCCCUCCCCACCGAACAGAGCGUCAGCCACCAACCCACCGACCGAACACCGCCCAUCUUCGACCUGGUCUCUCUCUCUCUCUCUGGUUCCUCUCUCACCUUUCCUUUCUCUCUCGUUGCAGACCCACCGACCGCCACCUAUCAGAGCACCGCCCACCGCAGUUCCACCGCCAAUUGGGAGCGCUGAGCCGACUACCGUAUUCUCUCUCUACGAUGCUGGCCGGGUGUUCGACAAAAUGUCUGAACCGAAUUGUGCUUGGUUUGAUAAAGUUGUCACAUUGCUGAUGUUUAAGUUUAAUGAUGAUUCUUGGUGACGGAGAGGACGAGUUAAACUAUGCUCUUCUUGAUAGGCAAAAGGAGAUGGACUUCUAUGAUUGAAAACAUAAAAAGAAACAGAAAAGGAAUGAAGAUACUGGUCCUUCUUCCAAUUUUAAUGUUGAUGAGGCAGCUCUUGGUGAUAUAGCUAAAACCAUGCAGGCUUUUGUCUAUAAGGGAGCUGAGGUUCCUGAAGACAGGAUAAGCAGGUGAGAGUGAUACUGCAUAACCUUCUGAAGAUAAUGAGGAUAGAGAUGGCUCUUUCUUGCACUCCUAUUCUGAUGCUAUGAAUGAAGAGUUGAAGACCACCUCUCUCACAAAAAGUUUUGUUCGUGGAUGCAGGGAAAAUCAAAUGGCACAAAAGAUACGGAGGAGGAUUUCAGUCCCGUGGAUGUGAACCUUGUAAAGAGCUUUCUUGAUUCCUUUUCUUCCCAGUCCUGCUUCCAAUUUGCUUGGUUCAUGGGUGUACAACUCCCACACUAUGACAAGAAGGGAAAAUGAUUCUCUCUAUGGGCCUUGUCCAGUUUUGUAUUUUGUUUUCGGUUUAGUUGAGUGGUUUCAGGUGUAAUUUUUUGAGGAGAAAUAUGGUUUCUUGGUGGAGGCAUCAUGUGUAUUUCUUAGAAUUUUGAUUCCUAAACUUAUUAAGCAUUUGGCUCCAAUCAUUCUUA